UACGGGGGGGAGCAAGCGUUGUUCGGAUUUACUGGGCGUAAAGGGCGCGUAGGCGGCGUGACAAGUCACUUGUGAAAUCUCCGGGCUUAACUCGGAACGGUCAAGUGAUACUGUCGUGCUAGAGUCCGGAAGAGGCGAGUGGAAUUCCUGGUGUAGCGGUGGAAUGCGCAGAUAUCAGGAGGAACACCAAUAGCGAAGGCAGCUCGCUGGGACGGUACUGACGCUGAGGCGCGAAAGCUAGGGGAGCGAACGGG
rnacentral:rRNA from 1 species